rnacentral:rRNA from 1 species
UACGUAGGGGGCCAGCGUUGUCCGGAAUCAUUGGGCGUAAAGAGCGUGUAGGCGGCCCGAUAAGUCCGCUGUGAAAGUCCAGGGCUCAACCCUGGGAUGCCGGUGGAUACUGUCGGGCUCGAGUCCGGAAGAGGAGUGUGGAAUUCCUGGUGUAGCGGUGAAAUGCGCAGAUAUCAGGAGGAACACCAAUGGCGAAGGCAGCACUCUGGGACGUGACUGACGCUGAGACGCGAAAGCGUGGGGAGCAAACAGG